UACACAAUACAUCUUGAGCCGUAUACUAGACUAAUUCGCUAAAACAAAUAUAGGGGAGGGUGUGUGUAAAAAAUAUUCUUGUGUCUCAAAUUUUGAUAACAUUAAAUCAUGUAUACCAUCAAGUAUACACGAAUUAACUUCAAGUUGAUAUUUUUCAAUGGAAAUAAUUUAGUUUCAAGAACUAUUUCUUCAACUUAUGUAAUACGGUGCUUAUUUUCACUGAACAUAUCGACAGGCAUAUACAUGUACAGACAUAAAGGCAUAGUCUCCCUUGUAGUGUUUUCCAAAUCCCAGUGAAAUUCAGGAAACACAUGUAUAUCUUCCACAUAGGAUAUUCACUGUUCCACGAUUUUAGAACGUGUUUUACUUGCUGAGGGUAUGUUUACGUUUACUGUCUUCAGUUUACACGCCUCAACCAUAUUGUCAAAUAUCUUCUCCUUGCAGUCAAAAAUGGGGGUAGUCGUUAAGGUCAUUGAAGCCGUUUAAGAGACUUUAAAGGGAAAAAAAACAUUGAGUGACCAUGAGUUGACCCCAUCCGAUAUCUUACAAGGGUUGACUGAUGCAUUCUGUGCCACUCAUAGAAAGAUUUGAAUUAAAGACGUUAAAAUUAUUUCUUUUCCAGCAUAAACCCCCUUCCACAUUGGUACAGUUUGCCAACGAUGUGCGUAUCGUAUUAUCAUUUUUGUCAUUGUCACAACACUAAAGUAAUUACAUGUCAGUUGUAAUCACUUAUAUAAUUCCUCUCACUUAACGGCAUAAAUGCCAUAGAAAGUCUCAGUCAAAACGAACUGCAAAACCCGAUGUCUGAAAAGGAAUUUAAGAUAGAUCCCUGGUAAACCCUCAAACAUGAGGGGCUAACCGUAGGGGAGGUAACUCCAUUUCUUCCCUUUACCCCACCAGGCGUCGUCAGAGAGAGCAUGGCUGUCAAGGCAGUGUUUUUAACUGACGGUACAAGUAAAGUUUGAGCGUUUUCGUCAAUUUCAACAACAUUACGAUGGACCAAGGUGCCUUCUCGGGGAAGACAUUGCACGAGCGACUGAAAUUAGUUGUGAAGGAAACUAACGAAGAUCGGUUUCAAUUUGAACUGACAAAUUUCAACAAGCAAGUUGAAAAUGCUGAAAACACUUAUGUUGUAUCAUGCUUAGGUUCAGUGUCAAUACAUGAAACGUUACAUCAGUUAAUUAACAGAGCAGUCGAUUGUGAGAUAUCUGACGUCGAACCUUCAGAGUAUACCAAGGAUGUCUUCCGAGGUAGGGCAGCGCUGUCAGAAAAUGUUUUGGAGAGUGUCCUCUGCUUACUGAAGUGCAUAUCACCUGAAGAUGCGGCAGUUACAAGAACAUUGAGAAAGAUAAAUCCACAUGUAGUACACUUGGCCUCAGGGAAUGUGGUGAAGAAUCUAUGGACCAGCGCCAGCUCUGUCCUCAAGGCCACUAAGGUGCUGCAGCAGUUGAAGACGCUGUACAGAGUAGAUGCUUACUCCGACCUCCUUCAAGUUAGCCUGACUGGAACCAAGCAUGACCUGCCUUCUCCAGCAGACUCCUUGUACGGUCUGUACCUGGCUAUAGUACAACACGUACUGACCAGGGACAGCUGGCGGAGGAACCCUGUUUCUGUUGCUUCGUUUGUGUGGGUGCUGCUUCACACCAAGUCCCCCUGGCUCAGUGAGUACCUAGGACAGGUUCUACCCUUGCCUCUCAAUAUGGUGGAUGAUUUCACGGUUGAGAACAAGAUUGUCGGUGUGAAAUGUUUGUACCACAUCCUGCAGAAUGUGUCGCAUGAGGAACUACGCUGGUAUGGCCGGGCUGAUGUCGUGUAUGCAGCCUUGAGGCAUCAGCUGUACACAAAGAACACCACCUUGAUGACGGUCCUCCACCCGGCGCUGCUCCUCGUCCUCCGCAUUGUGGAGAGGGCAGCUACAUCAGCAAGUUCCAGAGAAAUGAGCAGGCAUGAUGAAAUCUUCAAGAUGAUAAUUUACGAUUCAGAAAUGGAGAACAACAUCCACCUGCGGCGCUCGCUCACUGCUCACAUACCAGCCUUCAUUGACGUCAUGGGCAUCAGUGUCGUGUGUCACAUGACCAGUGUCGUGGGGCUUGUCUCCAACUACCUGGAAAUCUAUGAUGGGCCCGAAGAGACGUCCAGGUUGAAUGCGUUAUCGAUUUUGAAGUCUCUACUGCUGACUGUUUGGCCGAGAAUCCCAGUCCAUGCCAACGUCUUGCUGAAAUGUCUUCUCAAGUUUCUGUAUGAUGUUGGGGCUGACACUACAGUAACGCCUCAGACUGUGAAAGAUGAAAUGACGAAAUUGGCAACCGAAUGCUUGUUGCUUCUGACAAAAACAGCUCCAGAUAUCGUUGAACCUGGGCUCCUGUCGGUUUGUGACACAGACACACCUGUAUUUGUGAGGGACAUCGCUAGCAAGGUGUGUGAAACAUUCAGACACACAUGUGUUGGUUAGAGACAUCGCUAGCAAGGUGUGUGAAACAGUCAGACACACAUGUGUUGGUAAGAGACAGAGCUAGCAAGGUGUGUGAAACAGUCAGACACACAUGUGUUGGUAAGAGACAGAGCUAGCAAGGUGUGUGAAACAUUCCGACACACAUGUGUUGGUUAGAGACAGAGCUAGCAAGAUGUGUGAAACAUUCCGACACACAUGUGAUGGUUAGGGACAGAGCUAGCAAGGUGUGUGAAAGAUUUUGAUAUAUGUGUUGUUAGAGACAAAGCAAGCAAAUUGUGUAAAACAUUUUGACAAAUCACAUUAAAAUCAGAUCUUAGUUCGCGCUAUCACUAAAUAAAGAUCUGAGGACAUUCACCCAGAGCAACCUUUUGUGAUUCUUGGCCGACUAAUGAAAUGGUUUAAUGUAUGUAUGUCACAGCUGUGUCGUGAAGAGUCAUGUAACUGAGACAAACACGUCAUGUAUGUAUGUCACAGCUGUGUAGUGAAGUGUGUCAUGUAACUGAAUCACAUAUGUCAUGUAUGUAUGUCAGAGCUGUGUCGUGAAGAGUGUCAUGUAACUGAGACACACAUGUCGUGUGUAUGUCACAGCUGUGUCGUGAAGAGUGUCAUGUAACUGAGACACACAUGUCGUGUGUAUGUCACAGCUGUGUCAGGAGGUGUGUCAUGUAACUGAUUCACACAUGUCAUGUAUGUAUCUCACAGCUGUGUCGUGAAGAGUGUCAUGUAACUGAGACACACAUGUCGUGUGUAUGUCACAGCUGUGUCAGGAGGUGUGUCAUGUAACUGAAUCACAUAUGUCAUGUAUGUAUGUCACAGCUGUGUCGUGAAGAGUCAUGUAACUGAGACACACAUCAUGUAUGUAUCUCACAGCUGUGUCAGGAGGUGUGUCAUGUAACUGAGACACACAUGUCAUGUGUGUAUGUCAAAGCUGUGUCGUAAAGUCAUGUAAAUGAGACACACGUCAUGUGUGUAUGUCACAGCUGUGUAGUGAAGUGUGUCAUGUAACUGAAUCACAUAUGUCAUGUAUGUAUGUCACAGCUGUGUCGUGAAGAGUGUCAUGUAACUGAGACACACAUGUCGUGUGUAUGUCACAGCUGUGUCAGGAGGUGUGUCAUGUAACUGAUUCACACAUGUCAUGUA
rnacentral:misc_RNA from 1 species